rnacentral:lncRNA from 1 species
GUGUCCAUUGCUAGUCCAAUUUAGGAUUGAGUGUUUGAUUCUUCACUUAUUAUAGUUAUUGAUUUCAUUGGUGACUUUAGUAUAUGUACUUGCGUUAUGGUAUGAAUUGGCUCUCACCUUUGCCUGGUUGUUCGUCCUUGGAUAUACUCCUUAUAAAUCUGAUGUCCAUGGAUAGUUCAACUUUGGAUUUACUGCCAAUUCGACACUUAUUUGUCAUUAUAAAUUAUGUCUCAUCUUUAGCACUUUUACUAGGACUUCGGGUCAUAUUUUGCAAUUUCCGUUAUUUGCUGCAGUGACCAUCCUACUUUCCCUUGAUUAUUAGUGGUGAUUAUUUGUAAUCUUGCGAAUCAACGGGGAAUGAUACACUAAGCACUACUACUCUAGUUUAAUAUUUUGAAAAAAAAAAAAAAAAAAAUUUUUUUUAAAUAAAAUUUUUUUUCUGGUGGUUGAAAGGGAAUGUGACGUUCCGCCCCUUAUAGAAUCGAUUAUUGAUGGGAAGAUAUUAUUUAACUAUCCAAAAUAUUAUUUAAUUAUUUUCAGAAUUAUUUUCUUUCAAUGUUUAUUCAAAUAGAACUUAAACCCAUCUCAGAAUUUUUAAAUGCUUGAUGACGUCACAUUUAAAACGUGGCAACAUUGGUUUCCCCACUUUGACAGCCAAUGCUUAGUAGAGGGGUACGAAGGAUUCAGCUGUGAACGUGAGCCUUGGAUUGCGAUUGUUUCUCGAGUGUUCGGUCUGAAUCGUAGUGUGCGGGGUCAUUAGACUCAAUUAUUCACCUCUAAUUCUCAGUUCCAAAUUGAUUAAAUAUUACAAUAAAAGUAUAGUGAAGUUAUCCAGCAGCAGUGGAUUUGAAGAAUUUUAGAGCAUACUAUAUCCAAUGAGUUCUACCCCGCACCUACCAUGAAAUCUUAAAGCCACCCUACAACAACACCAAGGCCAGACCACACAGAGAGAAACAAUCAAUAGGCGACCAGCCUGGAUUAUUUCCACAUUUUCUUUUUUUGAGUACCUCCAGCUGCUUUCCAACAGUUUUGAGUACCUUCAGCUGCUUUCUACCAGUCUUCCUCUCCUGUACCUCCAGCAGGACAGCUGCUAGCGAGAGUUAGCACCCUUGGGUGCUCAUUACAUCAACUUCAAGAUUAGGAAAGAGUGGUUUGUUUGGGAACAUUUACUGUGCUCUUAUUAAAGACAGACUGGUUUUGUGAUAUUUAGUACAUUUUUUUUUAUAGUUCAAUUGCACACACAUUUUUCCUGCUUUAUAUUUUUUAUAGGUUUUUUUUCUUUACAACAUAAUAUUUAAUUGAUAGCGUUCCCCAACACUCUGCAAUCUAUAAAGGUAUAAAUUUCUGAGCUCAGAUAUUUUCCCUGAUAAUAGUAGUCGGUACUCUUAUCUUGAUUAUUUUUAGGCUGUGUUCCACUUUUGUAUAAUUAUUUAAACUCAUUCCAUUAUUUUAGUAUAUGUUUAAUUAAAUUUUUAAAAAUUAACUUCACAUAUUAGUCAAAAUUGUAAUUAUUAACUUUAUUUAACUUGAACUUAUUAACUUUACUUAACUUUAACUUAUUAACUUUAUUUAACUUUAACUUUAAUUUAUUAAAUUCAUAUGAACUUCUGGAUUCUAAUCCCUCAGAUUAGUUUUUGGUUUCACUUGUUAUUAUUACUAUUAUAAACCACGAGUUAGGAAAAGGAUCUGUGUAUCCACUCGUAGGUUUAUUUAUUCAAUAAGGCUUGUGCCUGUCCCACUCACAGUGAGGUAUUUAUAUGUUAUAUAUAGUAUCAGGUAGUAUUUAAUUAAGGUGUACGUAUUAUAAACGUACAAUUAUUAUUUGGUGAGGGUUCUACUAACCUAGUUGUAAGUUGUACUUCCUGUAUUAGAGGUACCCGUAGUCAGUUUUUCUAACCUUAUAAAGAGUAUUCUUAGAUCAUAGUUGUAUGAUGAUUUUGUAAUUGACUUUCACUAGUAUCACUUUUUCCUGUCAUGUUAGAGUUACACACUAGUUACUUGUCCUAACUCAGAGAUUGUUAAAAAGAUCUAGUAGUUACAUUCAAUAAAUAUACAUUUAUUGUGA